rnacentral:rRNA from 1 species
CCUACGGGAGGCAGCAGUGGGGAAUAUUGGACAAUGGGCGAAAGCCUGAUCCAGCCAUGCCGCGUGUGUGAAGAAGGCCUUCGGGUUGUAAAGCACUUUCAGUGGGGAAGAAAGCCUUGGGGCUAAUACCCUCGAGGAAGGACAUCACCCACAGAAGAAGCACCGGCUAACUCCGUGCCAGCAGCCGCGGUAAUACGGAGGGUGCGAGCGUUAAUCGGAAUUACUGGGCGUAAAGCGCGCGUAGGCGGUCUGAUAAGCCGGUUGUGAAAGCCCCGGGCUCAACCUGGGAACGGCAUCCGGAACUGUCAGGCUAGAGUGCAGGAGAGGAAGGUAGAAUUCCCGGUGUAGCAGUGAAAUGCAUAGAGAUCGGGAGGAAUACCAGUGGCGAAGGCGGCCUUCUGGACUGACACUGACGCUGAGGUGCGAAAGCGUGGGUAGCAAACAGGAUUAGAUACCCGUGUAGUC